rnacentral:rRNA from 1 species
GACGAACGCUGGCGGCGUGCCUAAUACAUGCAAGUAGAACGCUGAAGAGAGGAGCUUGCUCUUCUUGGAUGAGUUGCGAACGGGUGAGUAACGCGUAGGUAACCUGCCUUGUAGCGGGGGAUAACUAUUGGAAACGAUAGCUAAUACCGCAUAACAAUGGAUGACACAUGUCAUUUAUUUGAAAGGGGCAAUUGCUCCACUACAAGAUGGACCUGCGUUGUAUUAGCUAGUAGGUGAGGUAACGGCUCACCUAGGCGACGAUACAUAGCCGACCUGAGAGGGUGAUCGGCCACCCUGGGACUGGGACACGGCCCAGACUCCUACGGGAGGCAGCAGUAGGGAAUCUUCGGCAAUGGGGGCAACCCUGACCGAGCAACGCCGCGUGAGUGAAGAAGGUUUUCGGAUCGUAAAGCUCUGUUGUAAGUCAAGAACGAGUGUGAGAGUGGAAAGUUCACACUGUGACGGUAGCUUACCAGAAAGGGACGGCUAACUACGUG